AUUGAUUUACCUAUUUAUGGGUACUUGAUUCACCCAUAUUUAGGUAAUGUAAUCUUUACUGAUAUUAUGGGUAAAGUUUACUGAGUUUAUUGGUGAAUUUCACUUAUAUUUUUGGUAAAGUGGAUUUACCAAUAUAUGGGUAAUUGCAUUUACCCAUAUUUGGAUGAAAAUAAUUGAGCGUCUUUGUUUUUGUUUCCAUCAGUGCAUUCUGAUGUGCGGCAGUUCCGAAAAUAAAACUAUCAAAUAAUAAUGAUACCGGUGAAAUUCACAAGGAACCACGGACUCAGUGGUUUUUUUCCGGAACCGAUGUACUUUAAAAACCAACCGCUGUACCAGUUGCAUCAACAGCAACGGAUGCAGCCCACCUUUAACUCCCAGAACAGCGAUACAAGGGUCCGAAACUAACACCCACAGAAUCAGUUGUCCCCGUACCCCUCCUUACAAGUACCGUCGAGAGCUGAUAACAUCCGUUGGCCCAGAUAUGCCACCUAUGGCAGGAUACACUAUGUCGGUGCAGAAGCGGAAAUAUCCAGAAGUGUGCCAGUCGCGGCGUAGUCCGGCUGUUCCAGCUCCAGGUCCAUUCGUGCUCUGAAACCAGUAUGCCACUCAUCCUGAUCUCAGUCCUGAUUUUGUUGGAGACGAUUAAUUUUUAUACCCUUUUGCUCUUUGAGUUUUAAUAAAGUCAUGACUAU